CCCCCUUAUGGGUGUUUACGUAGAAAUACUAUUUUUGCUUAUUUUGAUGAUCCUCGAUACAGAAAAGAUAAAAAGGGUUCAUGAAUUAUUAAAUUUAGAUAUAGGACCCUAGAAGAAGAAUAUAGGACUCGAGCGUAAGACUCAGAAGAGGAAUAUGAGACCCUAGAAGACGAAUACAGGACCCGAGAGGACGAAUAUGAAUAUGAAACCCUAGAAGAAUCUAAAUAUGGAAUCCUAGAAGACAAAUACGAAUAUGAAACCCUAGAAGACGAAUAUGGGAGCCCAGAAAACGAAUAUGAGAACCCAGAGAACGAAUAUAGGACUUUAGAGAAAGACUUAGAAGAGGAAUAUGGGAGCCCAGAGAGCAAAUAUAGGACCCAAGGGGACGAAUAUGGAACUCUUGAGGAAGACUAG
rnacentral:rRNA from 1 species